rfam:Gossypium hirsutum cultivar TM-1 unplaced genomic scaffold scaffold290.1, whole genome shotgun sequence
UAUUAAAAAUUUCAUCCAUUUUUAUUGUUAAAAAACUGGCAUAGCUGAUGAAAUAACUAAACAGUUACACGUGACAUACCAUACAUACCUUAUGCUGACAUACAUGUACUAAUUUUUAACAGUAAAAGUGGGUAGAAUCAUUAACA